rnacentral:rRNA from 1 species
GAUGAACGCUGGCGGCGUGCUUAACACAUGCAAGUCGAACGAAGCAUUUGCGACAGAUUUUUUCGGAAUGAAGUUGCUUAUGACUGAGUGGCGGACGGGUGAGUAACGCGUGGGUAACCUGCCUUGUACUGGGGGAUAGCAGCUGGAAACGGCUGGUAAUACCGCAUAAGCGCACAAUGUUGCAUGACAUGGUGUGAAAAACUCCGGUGGUAUAAGAUGGACCCGCGUCUGAUUAGCUAGUUGGUGAGAUAACAGCCCACCAAGGCGACGAUCAGUAGCCGACCUGAGAGGGUGACCGGCCACAUUGGGACUGAGACACGGCCCAGACUCCUACGGGAGGCAGCAGUGGGGAAUAUUGCACAAUGGAGGAAACUCUGAUGCAGCGACGCCGCGUAAGUGAAGAAGUAAUUCGUUAUGUAAAGCUCUAUCAGCAGGGAAGAUAGUGACGGUACCUGACUAAGAAGCUCCGGCUAAAUACGUG